CAUUGAAAAUGGCACCUGAUUCAAAUAAAAGGUUAAUACAUUUGCCAUUAAUUGUUGUUUGCUUGUUUAUAAUAUCCAUAAUUAAUUUAAACCUGAUUUCCUUACAGAAACAACAGGGAUCUCAGAAACUUUGCCUGCACCGUCCAGUAAAGUUACUGAAUCGAUUUCAAGUCACUGAAUCGAGUCGUUCUAAAUUAACCCACAUCGUCCAUGAAUCGAAUCGUUGUUAAGAUGAAUUGUUACACCUCCAGUGAUUAGGAGAACCCAAAAUGACAGCACCUCAUCUUGUACAAGAUCUUUUCUCUUCAUCGUGAGAUCUUUCAUUGAAAGGUCUAUACUCAUAAUCACGUUGUGAGGUGAAUUAUCUUUUCCUAAUCAAAUAAUAAAUAUUUAGUAAUGCUACCAAAUGUACCCAGUGGAGUCUCCUGUGAGUAUCUAUACUCGCUCGACUCGUUGUCAUGGGAUGCAAAGUGCCGCCACAGAGAGCAACUCAUUGGAGCUGGUUAAGUUGCUGUGCUGGGCCGUCAUUAGUCUCCAUGGAGGUAAUGAGAGGAGACGAGGUCUUUAAGACCUGGAGGGGUUCUGAGCUUUUACCGGCUGUGCCGACUAACGGCUUUUCUUCUGAACAAUCCAGUGCAAUAAAAAAAACUGGAAAAUCCAUUAAAGCUUUAGAGAAGAAAUGGCUGAGGAGGCCUGAGGUAUUUGAAGGCUACUUUACAUAAAACUGCUAAAAGAGGGAUUGGGGAUUAUGUCGGGUCUGUCCACGGUGCACUGGUCUCUGCUGGAGGAUCUGGGUCUGUCCACAGUGGACUGGUCUCUGCUGGAGGAUCUGGGUCUGUCCACGGUGGACUGGUCUCUGCUGGAGGAUCUGGGUCUGUCCACGGUGGACUGGUCUCUGCUGGAGGAUCUGGGUCUGUCCACGGUGGACUGGUCUCUGCUGGAGGAUCUGGGUCUGUCCACGGUGGACUGGUCUCUGCUGGAGCUUGUGGGUCUGUCCACAGUGGACUGGUCUCUGCUGGAGGAUGAGUCAAACAGACCAUAAACCUGCUUUAGGGCGGGGCUACACGUUGAUUGACAGGUCUACUUCUGAUUCACAAUUUGAGGCAAAAUAUCUGAAACUUUCCGCCCCCAUUAAGAUAUUUCCAGACCUCCUGCAGUGAAUCAAUCAGACACGUUUCGUUGAGCUAAAAUGUGGAUUUUGUCCGUCUGUCUGAAUCCCCGAGCGACGGACGCCCGUCACACUGGGAGAAAUCUACCCGAGAACACGCGCUGCGAACAAUUUUCUCCCUCCGCAUGGGGUGAGGAGAGGGACCAGAAUGCAGUGCGGCGUCAGCGUCUUGUUAAUAAUGUGUGAAAAAUGCAGACGACCUCUCCAGUGACAUUCGCGCCAUUUGCAGAGAAGAGAAGCCAGCGGCCUUUGGGUCACCGUGAAGCGCUUGUUUUACUCUUCCAUUAGGAUUCCACCACAAACACUUGUGUCUUUUGUGUCUUUUGUGUCUUGCGUGCGUUUACUAAACCAGGUGCUCGUCGAUAGGCGGAGGACCUGCUGUCACCUGUGAUCAGGGUGAUGGAGCAGAACCUGGGCCACGAGGGUCACCGCGGCAUCACGAAAACCAAUAUCUGUGUUUGCUGGUCGAGGGAAACUCGUUUUUUGCUAUUUUCCUUGCAAACUACUCCCAUCAGGCCGAGUUUCUCCAGUCAUGCAAAGCCGCACUGGGCCGUGUUUAUCUAAUCUAAGUGGUUCUCGCACCAUUCUGGCAAAAGGAAUUAGCGCUCAGAUGCGCCGAUCUGUCUUUGUUAUGAUCAAUCCUUGUGGUAGCGUGUUGGGGGACAGCCAGCCAAUCAGAGAGCCCCUGGAGAGCAGCUGAGGAGCUCCGUCCUCACUGGAUACCAGCAGAGACGAGACCGCUCCACUGACCCGGAGGAGUCUCCGCUUCCUCUCCUUCAUCGCUCCUUCUUCUGCUUCCUGUAUCCGCGCGGCUCUUAUUGGUUCACGUUCCUGCGCAGAUCAAAAGACAUCGAGAGCUUUCAAUAUUCCACCAAUCUGCUUGGAAACAGACAAAGGGUCUCGACAGUCUGUGGGAAUCCAUUUUAGAUCUCAGGAACAAAUUACAAAAAGAAGAAAAGAUGUGGUAAAUAAAUACAUUAGUCUGCGAGAUAUUGACUGAAUCUCUCUACAAAGCCUAAGUAAUUAUAAUUAUACACAAUGAUGUACAAUUUGAACAUCAUUAAACUGGAAUUUAAUGGAUCUUUGCAAAAGUCACCCCUCGUUUUUCAAAUAUAUCCCAAGAAAGUCCAGCAUCAAGUGUCACAGCCGGGUUACGUGCGUGUGAUCUUUUCAAAGUGAACUUCUGUCUUCACAGGAAACUCAUAAAUACUACAUUUAGUGUCACCUGUUGAAAGAUGGUUGUAUAAGGAAGCCGUGGUAGAGAGGCCUGUCAAUCAGUGAGUAGCCCCGCCCUAAAGCAUCCCCUGCUGUAUGGUCUAUUAGGUGACCUGUCAAUCAGCGUGUAGCCCCGCCCUAAAGCAUAACCCGCUUUAUGGUCUAUUAGGUGACCUGUCAAUCAGCGUAUAGCCCCGCCCUAAAGCAUAACCCGCUUUAUGGUCUAUUAGGUGACCUGUCAAUCAGUGAGUAGCCCCGCCUUAAAGCAUCCCCUGCUGUAUGGUCUAUUAGGUGACCUGUCAAUCAGUGUGUAGCCCCGCCCUAAAGCAUCCCCUGCUGUAUGGUCUGUUUCACUGAAAAUGGACCAUAAUUUACUGAGCAAAUUUUACGGUUUGAUAGAAAACACUUCCGGUUGGAUAUACGAAGGUGCCCUUGGGCAAGGCAGCACGAAGCUUCCCUUGUUCCCCGCUCUGUGCAUGUCUAUUUCAGGCUUUAAAGAAAAACUAAAUCCCCCCUGAAGGGAUUAAAACGUUUCCUCCUCCUCCUCCUCGUUCACCUCCGCCUCCUCCUCCUCCUCUUCCUCCUCUUUCUCUACUUCUUCGGGCUCUUGUUGCAUUCACGACCGCCUCCAGAGACAAAACGUGACUUUGCUGCUCUGAUAAACAGACCACAGUGAGGCGACACGCGACAGACGGGAAAUAACAGGUCCACGUGGAACACGCCGUCUGCCCGGUGGCGCCCGGGCUGCCGGCGUGUUCCACGUGCGACGUUCAAACCCUCACCGAGCCAACUCAGACAUCCGGGAGACGAGCGCUUCCUCCGCGGGGGGGGGAAGGAAUCCAUGACGGCUUCAGAUUCCUUCAAUGUGACUUUGAGUCCUCUCAGUCACACCUGUGCGAGCAGAUGCUGUCAGGGCACGAAGAUGGCGUGAGUGGCUGUCACAGCGUGAGCUCAAAUAUUCUCAUUUGACAGUGGCGGGAGGCAAUCAUCCCUCACACACACACAGACACACACACACACACACACACACACACAGCCACACACACAGACAGACACACACAGACACACACACACGUGGCAGUAAUCUCUGCGCUGACAUGACCGCUUCAAUCUGCCUCUUGGCCCUCGGGCCUCCGCAGCAGAGCUGAUUCAAUUUGCCACCCAUCAAAAUGCAAUUUUUCAGCUUCGCCAUCCCCGCUCUCCUCCUCCUCCUCCUCCUCC
ensembl:lncRNA